rnacentral:rRNA from 1 species
CCUACGGGAGGCAGCAGUGGGGGAUAUUGCACAAUGGGGGGAACCCUGAUGCAGCGACGCCGCGUGGGUGAAGAAGCGCCUCGGCGCGUAAAGCCCCGUCAGCAGGGAAGAAAAUGACGGUACCUGAAGAAGAAGCCCCGGCUAACUACGUGCCAGCAGCCGCGGUAAUACGUAGGGGGCCAGCGUUAUCCGGAUUUACUGGGGUGAAAGGGGGCGCAGACGGGGAUGCAAGACACGCGUGAAAGCCCGGGGCCCAACCCCGGGACUGCUGUUGGCAAUGCGUGGCGGGAGUGCAGGAGGGGCAGGCGGAAUUCCUGGUGUAGCGGUGAAAUGCGUAGAUAUCAGGAGGAACACCGGUGGCGAAGGCGGCCUGCUGGACUGCAACUGACGUUGAGGCCCGAAAGCGUGGGGAGCAAACAGGAUUAGAUACCCGGGUAGUC